UACAGAGGUCCCAAGCGUUGUUCGGAUUCAUUGGGCGUAAAGGGUGCGUAGGCGGCUUGUCGCGUCGGCUGUGAAAACCCGCGGCUCAACUGUGGGCGGGCAGCUGAUACGGGCAGGCUGGAGUUCGGUAGGGGAGACUGGAAUUCCUGGUGUAGCGGUGAAAUGCGCAGAUAUCAGGAGGAACACCGGUGGCGAAGGCGGGUCUCUGGGCCGAUACUGACGCUGAGGAGCGAAAGCGUGGGGAGCGAACAGG
rnacentral:rRNA from 1 species